rnacentral:rRNA from 1 species
GAGCGGACAGAAGGGAGCUUGCUCCCGGAUGUUAGCGGCGGACGGGUGAGUAACACGUGGGUAACCUGCCUGUAAGACUGGGAUAACUCCGGGAAACCGGAGCUAAUACCGGAUAGUUCCUUGAACCGCAUGGUUCAAGGAUGAAAGACGGUUUCGGCUGUCACUUACAGAUGGACCCGCGGCGCAUUAGCUAGUUGGUGGGGUAAUGGCUCACCAAGGCGACGAUGCGUAGCCGACCUGAGAGGGUGAUCGGCCACACUGGGACUGAGACACGGCCCAGACUCCUACGGGAGGCAGCAGUAGGGAAUCUUCCGCAAUGGACGAAAGUCUGACGGAGCAACGCCGCGUGAGUGAUGAAGGUUUUCGGAUCGUAAAGCUCUGUUGUUAGGGAAGAACAAGUGCGAGAGUAACUGCUCGCACCUUGACGGUACCUAACCAGAAAGCCACGGCUAACUACGUGCCAGCAGCCGCGGUAAUACGUAGGUGGCAAGCGUUGUCCGGAAUUAUUGGGCGUAAAGGGCUCGCAGGCGGUUUCUUAAGUCUGAUGUGAAAGCCCCCGGCUCAACCGGGGAGGGUCAUUGGAAACUGGGAAACUUGAGUGCAGAAGAGGAGAGUGGAAUUCCACGUGUAGCGGUGAAAUGCGUAGAGAUGUGGAGGAACACCAGUGGCGAAGGCGACUCUCUGGUCUGUAACUGACGCUGAGGAGCGAAAGCGUGGGGAGCGAACAGGAUUAGAUACCCUGGUAGUCCACGCCGUAAACGAUGAGUGCUAAGUGUUAGGGGGUUUCCGCCCCUUAGUGCUGCAGCUAACGCAUUAAGCACUCCGCC